rnacentral:lncRNA from 1 species
UGAGCGCUGAGGGAGCUUAAGCCGCUCCUGCGACAGCGCCCAAUCUAGCUGUGAGGAUCGCUGAUGAGGUGGAUCGUGGCCCCUGGGCGUCCGUGAUGGCUUUGGCUGGGGCAGCUGGAGAGAAGAGGAGGCGGAGGAGAAGGACAGGAGUGGGUAGAGACUCAGGCAGCUAAUAUCUGUAAACCAGUGAAAACCUGUGGAGCCCUCAGCCGCCGAAUCCACCAGCCUCUGUGGUGGUGUCUGAGGGGGUUGUGCUGGGCAUUGAUUUCCUCAGUGGCACCGUCUGCUGCCGUUCUCUGCGGAGAAAUCCCCGCCUUCCAGGGCGAGGUCCUUAUUAAGGAUGAAAGCUGCCUCAGGUGUCCGAGCACGCGUCAGGGCUGUUGAGGUCUUCAGCAGAAACAGCCGAAGUCCUUGGCAGAGCCGAGCCCUGGGAUCUGGGGUGGCUCCCGCUCUGUGGCUGGCACCGGAGCGGCCCCUUUCUUCUUCAUUCCUCGCCGUCCCGGAGCAGCUCAGUCUCUUUGGGAUUUUCUACUUCUGCCCUGGUUGAUCAAGUCAUCUACAAGGUUCAGCCCAAUAGAAGAUUCUGCGCAAUAGAAGAUUCCCCUUUUUAUGCUCCAUGACUGUGGACGAUCCUAUUAUGUAGUUCCUAGAGCUAAGAGGUGAGAGUACUGCCUUGGAAG